rnacentral:rRNA from 1 species
UACGGAGGGCGCAAGCGUUGUUCGGACUCACUGGGCGUAAAGCGCGUGUCGGCGGCCCUGCAAGUCGGGUGUGAAAUCCCGAGGCUCAACCUCGGAACUGCACUCGAAACUGCUUGGCUCGAGUCCCGGAGAGGGUGGCGGAAUUCCCGGUGUAGGGGUGAAAUCCGUAGAUAUCGGGAGGAACACCAGUGGCGAAGGCGGCCACCUGGACGGUGACUGACGCUGAGACGCGAAAGCGUGGGGAGCAAAUAGG